CGUGACCCUGCUCUUCUCCAUCCUGCUGUGCCUCCCGGCACAGGCCAAGGCACUCCUGGAAGGAACCCAAGAUGAUCUCCAGGAGGUGGAUGUAGUCAAUGUCGACAUCCUGAAGACACCUCAGCCUGCUCUGCGUAAAAAGCUGGAGGCUCUUCUGCGGGUGAAGCGCCUGGCUGCC